UACGUAGGGGGCAAGCGUUGUCCGGAAUCAUUGGGCGUAAAGAGCGUGUAGGCGGCUCGAUAAGUCCGCUGUGAAAGUCCAGGGCUCAACCCUGGAAGGCCGGUGGAAACUGUCGGGCUAGAGUCCGGAAGAGGCGAGUGGAAUUCCCGGUGUAGCGGUGAAAUGCGCAGAUAUCGGGAGGAACACCAAUGGCGAAGGCAGCUCGCUGAGACGGUACUGACGCUGAGACGCGAAAGCGUGGGGAGCAAACAGG
rnacentral:rRNA from 1 species